GGGGAAAAAGGAAGAAACAUCACCCACCCUCCUUCCCACAUCCUCCCUGGCAGAGUUUUGGAUCUCCAGCCUCAAAAACUGCAGGAUUAGAAAAUAAAAUAUUUAAGGGCUCUGAUUGUUCAUUCCAUUGCUGCUGAAGAAAAACACUCAGACCUCAGAGUCCUUGCUGAUAAAAGAAUGAAACAACUGUAGUGAGCAGCAGGAAAAUGCACCCAACAGCCAUCAGCAAAAUCUGCUUUGAUUUUGCUGAGGAGUUACCUGAGUUCUGUUUGUAACAUUUAUGCAAACAAACAAGAGCUGUGCAGGCACUGUGUCUGUUCCACAGACAAAUACUGUCAGACAUAACCCAAAUAACUCACAAUUCAGGAUUCACAGAAAGGCUUGAUGACAGCAGCUGCAAAGAAAUUCCAGUAGCUCUAGAAAGCUUCUGUGUUCUGAAAACAAAACUAUCAACAUGUGCAUGGAAGUCACUUUUGGUGGGGCUGAAAUCUGUGCUAUAAAAUGACAUUUUCCAAGGAUUCAGCUCCUGAUCCCCUCCUGUACACCUGACAGCCCUUCCAAGGCUCCAUUUGAAAUUCUGAGUGCUUUUCCCAGUGUCUGCAGAGACUUCCAAAGGCUCAGAGAACCAGGGAGUGCAGACCAAACCCAGUGAGGAGCAGAGCUGGGGUAUCCACAGAGAGAUUUAAUGGAUUUAAACACCUGUAAGGAUUCCAGAGCAACAGGAAGGAACAAGCAGGGUUUAUUCAUUACCCAGGUGCUCUGCAGGGACAAUCCAAAAGGGGAUGUUUUUAGGGGAAUAUUUUUGAUGAAUUAUUAAAGCUCUCUGCAAGGACUGGGUGAGUCAGGGCUGGGUUCCCACCUGGGGUUUGACCUGCUCAGGAUCCACUCCCAGGGAAAUCACUCAGAGAUUUUUAGAUUUUUUUAAGCAGCAGAAGGCAGAACUUUGCUAACAUGCUGUUAUUCUGUUUCUAUCCCAGCAUUUCCCUCCAGCUUUUCUGGGAAGUGAGAACAAGAGGCUAAAGAGCCCUCAAGGAGCACAAGGAGGGAACAACCACUUGAAACACAAACCUCAUUUCAGCAGUGAGGGCUCUUGUCCCAAAAUGGGGGAAGAAAAUGCAACAGAGGGGUUUCAUCCUCCCUGCUUUGGCACAAAAAUACAGCCUGGGUUCAGAGAUGGAGAUAUUCCUCCAAGAUUUCCAGAGAGAUGUGAGUGCAGAGAGAUCAGGAACUGGGAGGCUGAGGAGUCAGGCCAUGGCUGGGGCUGAGCCCCUGCUGCCAGCUCUGAUCACAGAGGUGAGCACAGAGCAGCACCAGGCUUUGGAGGCCACAGUGAGGAUGAUUUCAUUGUCUAAGCCAAAGAUUCCCAGCACAAUUCCAUUUUAUUUGCAUGUGUACUGAGCCCCAGAUCCAGCCUGUGACUUCAUCAUCUUGAAAUAUUACAACAAAUUCCAAAGUAUUUUCUUACAAUUUUUAUUCCAGUUUUAAUCUAUUGGUUUUUUUCUCUCUAUCCUAUACAGAUUCCAUGAUUAAUUUAUUAUCAUUUCUCAUCCCAUUGGCAGCCCCAGUCCUGCUGAUUAAUUUCUACUACAGCCUCAUUAUUUCCCUUCUAUAAAUACUGCAUCUCAUUUCACUGCUUUCUAUAGUUAACUUUGCUUUUUGUCCUCCACCUGGGGCUCUCACUUUCAAUUUACCAUGAGACAGUGGGCAAAGACUGAGCUGAAAUGCAGUAAUUACACCUCCCUGGCCUGGCAAACAGAAUCAUUUAUUUUCCUUAUGGAUGGAAGCAGCUGGGAGCUGCUCUGCAAUCCCACAGCAAUCCCACAAAAAAAAAAAAAAACCCAAAACAAUACUUCUGCCUUUGCAGAUUAAUAAUGGAAACUCUUGGCUUCUAGAAUUUGAGAAACCUAUGGAGAUGGAUUACAAAAUAUAGCAACAUUUGCAUUGAGGAAGGAGAAAGGGCUGAGUCACACCCCAGGCAGGCAGAUCUGGUUCCACCUGCAGGAAUAUUAAAGCAGCACCCAAUCCAUCACUGCCAGGGCAGCUCAGAGCCAAAGCCAUUGGAAUUCUGGAGGUGCCUGCCCACAAGAGGCUCUCCCAGUUUUUCACCCAGUGGAGUUAUGCUUGAUUCUGUUUUUCCAUUUCCUUACCCUUCAGCCUUUGCCA